rnacentral:rRNA from 1 species
GACGAACGCUGGCGGCGGGCUUAACACAUGCAAGUCGAACGGUGAAGCGCCUUCCUUUUUGGUUGGUGUGGAUGAGUGGCGAACGGGUGAGGAACACGUGAGUAACCUGCCCCCUCCUUCUGGAUAACCGCAUGAAACUGUCGCUAAUACGGCAUAUUCUGUGCCUGUCGCAUGAUGGGUCUGUGGAAGCUUUUGUUUCGGUGGGGGAUGGGCUCGCGGCCUAUCUGCUUGUUGGUGGGGUGAUGGCCUAGCAAGGCGGUGAGGGGUAGCCGGCCGGGGAGGGUCAGCGACAACAGAGGUGCUGCACGGCGGCGACGCCUCCGACGGGAGGCAGCAGGGAAGAAUAGUGAACAAUGGGAAGAAGGAUGCAGCAGCGACGCGGGGUGAGGGAAGGAGGCCUGCGGGUAGUGAACCUCCGUCGCGAGUGAAGAACGCCUGCCUAGUUUGUGGGUGGGUUGACGGUAGCUAGAGAAGAAGCGCCGGCUAACUACGUG